rnacentral:rRNA from 1 species
AACGAACGCUGGCGGCAUGCCUAACACAUGCAAGUCGAACGAGACCUUCGGGUCUAGUGGCGCACGGGUGCGUAACGCGUGGGAACCUGCCCUUAGGUUCGGAAUAACUCCCCGAAAGGGGUGCUAAUACCGGAUAAUGUCUUCGGACCAAAGAUUUAUCGCCUUUGGAUGGGCCCGCGUUGGAUUAGCUAGUUGGUAGGGUAAAAGCCUACCAAGGCGACGAUCCAUAGCUGGUCUGAGAGGAUAUCAGCCACACUGGGACUGAGACACGGCCCAGACUCCUACGGGAGGCAGCAGUGGGGAAUAUUGGACAAUGGGCGAAAGCCUGAUCCAGCAAUGCCGCGUGAGUGAUGAAGGCCUUAGGGUUGUAAAGCUCUUUUACCCGGGAUGAUAAUGACAGUACCGGGAGAAUAAGCGCCGGCUAACUCCGUG